CCUACGGGGGGCAGCAGUGGGGAAUAUUGCACAAUGGGCGAAAGCCUGAUCCAGCCAUGCCGCGUGUGUGAAGAAGGCCUUCGGGUUGUAAAGCACUUUCAGUGGGGAAGAAAGCCUUGGGGCUAAUACCCUCGAGGAAGGACAUCACCCACAGAAGAAGCACCGGCUAACUCCGUGCCAGCAGCCGCGGUAAUACGGAGGGUGCGAGCGUUAAUCGGAAUUACUGGGCGUAAAGCGCGCGUAGGCGGUCUGAUAAGCCGGUUGUGAAAGCCCCGGGCUCAACCUGGGAACGGCAUCCGGAACUGUCAGGCUAGAGUGCAGGAGAGGAAGGUAGAAUUCCCGGUGUAGCGGUGAAAUGCGUAGAGAUCGGGAGGAAUACCAGUGGCGAAGGCGGCCUUCUGGACUGACACUGACGCUGAGGUGCGAAAGCGUGGGUAGCAAACAGGAUUAGAUACCCGUGUAGUC
rnacentral:rRNA from 1 species